CCUACGGGUGGCAGCAGUGAGGAAUAUUGGUCAAUGGGCUUGCGCCUGAACCAGCCAAGCCGCGUGAGGGAAGACUGCCCUAUGGGUUGUAAACCUCUUUUGUCAGGGGCAACGCCGGCUACGUAUACCCGGACUGAGAGUACCUGAAGAAAAAGCAUCGGCUAACUCCGUGCCAGCAGCCGCGGUAAUACGGAGGAUGCGAGCGUUAUCCGGAUUUAUUGGGUUUAAAGGGUGCGUAGGCGGAAUGCCAAGUCAGCGGUAAAAUCGCGGGGCUCAACCUCGCUCCGCCGUUGAAACUGGCGGGAUGGAGUGGGCGAGAAGUAUGCGGAAUGCGUGGUGUAGCGGUGAAAUGCAUAGAUAUCGCGCAGAACUCCGAUUGCGAAGGCAGCAGACCGGCGCCAAACUGACGCUGAGGCACGAAAGCGUGGGUAUCGAACAGGAUUAGAUACCCGAGUAGUC
rnacentral:rRNA from 1 species